rnacentral:rRNA from 1 species
UACGUAGGCAGCGAGCGUUGUUCGGAGUUACUGGGCGUAAAGCGCGCGUAGGUGGUUUGUUAAGUUGGAUGUGAAAUCCCCGGGCUCAACCUGGGAACUGCAUUCAAAACUGACAAGCUAGAGUAUGGUAGAGGGUGGUGGAAUUUCCUGUGUAGCGGUGAAAUGCGUAGAUAUAGGAAGGAACACCAGUGGCGAAGGCGACCACCUGGACUGAUACUGACACUGAGGUGCGAAAGCGUGGGGAGCAAACAGG